GCGCGUGUGUGUGUGUGUGUGUGUGUGUGUGUGUGUGUGUGUGUGUGUGAUGAUUGUUGCAUCUCCGUCCUGUGACAUGUGUUGCUCCUCUCAGCAUUAGUGCUCUAUAACCCUCUUUGCCAAAACCAGCUCAGACCUCAGCAGCUGACUCUGGAGUAGCCCAUGACUCAGAACUGGCCUGCAUCUGGCCUGCAUCUGGCCUGCAUCUGACUCAGAACUGGCCUGCAUCUGGCCUGCAUCUGACUCAGAACUGGCCUGCAUCUGGCCUGCAUCUGACUCAGAACUGGCCUGCAUCCGGCCUGCAUCUGGCCUGCAUCUGGCCUGCAUCUGGCCUGCAUCCGGCCUGCAUCCGGCCUGCAUCUGGCCUGCAUCUGACUCAGAACUGGCCUGCAUCUGGCCUGCAUCUGGCAUGCAUCUGGCAUGCAUCUGGCCUGCAUCCGGGCCCGGGCCCACUAAAGCUGCACCUGAUGUGGCCCCAGUCCAUCUCUAAGCGUAUCACACCUCCUAAUGGAAACAGAGGGCCCAGUUAUCUGGUGCUGAUGCCAGAGGGCCCAGUCAUCUGGUGCUGAUGCCAGAGGGAAAGCCUUGGGCUGGCCCCAGGUCUUAGCAGGAAACAGGCCAUAAAUCUGCUCCUGAUUUGGCACCAGUAUAGGCCUGGAUAUGGCCCUGAUAUGGCCCAGAUAUGGCCCUGAUAUGGCAUAGGUAGUAUGGCCCUGAUAUGGCAUAGAUAUGGCCCUGAUAUGGCCCAGGUAUGGCAUGGUUGUGGGUCUACUAGAUAUGAGCCUUUCAGAGUCAGCUGUUGUGUUUGAGGUCUCUCAAUGCAUGCUGUUAUUCCAUUAACACAAGGUCACUUUGUAAAGACUAACUGAAAGUAUAUCGCUUUUGUUUGUUUGUCUGUUUGUUCUUGUUUAUUGUUUUUGCAUACUCCAGCAUGUCAUUUCUCCUGUUUUGUUUGUAUUGAAGACAUGAAUCAGCCACUCCUGAAUCAGAAGAUCACACCCUUUACGUGUGAGAAGAGAGACUAAGAUGGUCUCGUGUAGUGUGUGUGUGUAGUGUUGUGUGUGUGUGUGUGUGAUGCUGGUGAGAAGAGAGACUAAGAUGGUCUCGUGUAGUGUGUGUGUGUGUGUGUGUGUGUGUGUGUGUGUGUGUGUGUGAUAUUGGUGAGAAGAGAGACUAAGAUGGUCUCGUGUAGUGUGUGUGUGUGUGUGUGUGUGUGUGUGUGUGUGUGUGUGUGUGUGUGUGUGUGUGUGUGUGUGUGUGUGUGUGUGUGUGUGUGUGUGUGUGUGUGUCAUGCGGGUCAUAUGAGCAUGUGGAGUACACAGAGGUGACUAAGACCGCGGGGGGGGGUCACACAGAAGAUGAGAGGCGUGAGCGCGCAAACAGGAAGUGUGGAAGCUCGUUUUGGAACCGCGAUGAACAGACAGACAGGAAGGAUGAGAAGGAGACAUGACUCUUGUCCCCAAACACUCCCAAAGGCAGGCAGCCCUAUUGAUCUUGGCCUGGGGGGGGUGGGGGGGGGGGGGUCGGACGAGAGGCUGGCGGAUGGUGGGCAGGAAACGUGACUACACCCACGUACUCCCCAACCUCCACCACCACCACCAUUCUUCAAUCUCUGGCCACUGAUCUUGGCCUUGGGGGUAGGGGUGUUGGGCGGGGGGGCUGUAACCUGUCUGCCUUUUUCACCCUCCUGUAGCUGUCUUAUUGCAGGAUGUAGUACAGCCCUCCCAGAACGGGGGUUCAGGGUUUGCCUAGAUACGAGCGGCCAUUGGGUUGAGGGUGGGGUGACACAUCAACAUUCCACACGAUUGUUUUUUUUUUUUCUUUUUUUUCUUUUUUUUUCAUUGUUUUGUUUUUGUAUGUCUUUGUUUGUUUUCUUUACACAUUUGUAGCCAAAUACAGUGUUUAAGUGAAAUUUUGCAUUUGGUGUCAAUUGUUUUUUUAUUUCAUAAACGUUAUUAUGCAUUUUCAUUAUAAUGGUUGCACAACGUCUUGUUUUUGAAGGUACUGACUGCACUCCCAAUGUGCAGAGCCUGUGGUAAUAAUGGAAGUAACACGAAACACAAUAAUACUGUGGAGAAUGAUGUUCAACAUUAACAUUUUACUCCAUCAAAAAAAAAUGCAUCCCCACAUAAAAAAAAGUGUGACUAAUUUCAUAUCAUGUAACAUUUGUAAGCAUUUUCUCUUUGAUAUUAAUGUGGUG
ensembl:lncRNA